rnacentral:tRNA from 1 species
AGGAUAAUAGUUAAAAAUUAACAUUUAAUUUGCAUUUAAAAAAUAUUGAAAUUCAAUUUAUCUUA